rnacentral:rRNA from 1 species
UACGUAGGUGGCAAGCGUUGUUCGGAAUUAUUGGGCGUAAAGGGCGCGUAGGCGGUCUUGUAAGUCAGCUGUGAAAGCCCGGGGCUCAACCCCGGAGGGUCGGCUGAUACUGCAGGACUGGAGUACGGAAGAGGUAGCUGGAAUUCCCGGUGUAGCGGUGAAAUGCGUAGAUAUCAGGAGGAACACCGGUGGCGAAGGCGGGUCUCUGGGCGAGUAACUGACGCUGAGGAGCGAAAGCGUGGGGAGCGAACAGG